AAUUUUCCGCAAUGGGCGCAAGCCUGACGGAGCAACGCCGCGUGGGGGAUGACGCUUUUCGGAGUGUAAACCCCUUUUCUCAGGGAAGAAGACAGUGACGGUACCUGAGGAAGAAGGACCGGCUAGCUACGUGCCAGCAGCCGCGGUAAUACGUAGGGUCCGAGCGUUGUCCGGAGUUACUGGGCGUAAAGCGCGCGCAGGUGGCUCGAUAAGACUGGCGUGAAAGCCCCCGGCUCAACCGGGGAGGGUCGUUGGUGACUGUCGGGCUUGAAGACAGCAGGGGCAGGUGGAAUUCCCGGUGUAGUGGUGAAAUGCGUAGAGAUCGGGAGGAACACCCGUGGCGAAGGCGGCCUGCUGGGCUGGUCUUGACGCUGAGGCGCGAAGGCGUGGGGAGCGAA
rnacentral:rRNA from 1 species